GACGAACCGUCCUAACGUUGUUCGGAAUCACUGGGCUUAAAGGGCGCGUAGGCGGGCCAUCCAGUCCGGGGUGAAAUCUUUCGGCUUAACCGGAAACAGCCUUGGAUACUGAUGGUCUCGAGGGAGGUAGGGGCCUGUGGAACUUCCGGUGGAGCGGUGAAAUGCGUUGAUAUCGGAAGGAACGCCGGUGGCGAAAGCGACGGGCUGGACCUCUUCUGACGGCUGAGGCGCGAAAGCUGAGGGGAGCAAACGGG
rnacentral:rRNA from 1 species